rnacentral:rRNA from 1 species
GACGAACGCUGGCGGCGUGCUUAACACAUGCAAGUCGAACGGUGAAGCGCCUUCCUUUUUGGUGGGUGUGGAUGAGUGGCGAACGGGUGAGUAACACGUGAGUAACCUGCCCCCUUCUUCUGGAUAACCGCAUGAAAGUGUGGCUAAUACGGGAUAUUCUGGGUCUGUCGCAUGAUGGGUCUGGGAAAGAUAUUGUUUCGGUGGGGGAUGGGCUCGCGGCCUAUCAGCUUGUUGGUGGGGUGAUGGCCUACCAAGGCGGUGACGGGUAGCCGGCCUGAGAGGGUGGACGGUCACACGGGGACUGAGACACGGACCAGACUCCUACGAGAGGCAGCAGUGGGGAAUAUUGCACAAUGGGCGCAAGCCUGAUGCAGCGACGCCGCGUGAGGGAUGGAGGCCUGCGGGUUGUGAACCUCUUUCGCCAGUGAAGCAGGCCUGCCUCGUUUGUGGGUGGGUUGACGGUAGCUGGAUAAGAAGCGCCGGCUAACUACGUG